rnacentral:tmRNA from 1 species
GGGGGCGACACGGCUUCGACGAAGCUCGCCGAAUGCCUGGUUGCGCGUCGCGGACGCAGAUGGCCGCGUUACCAAUCUGCAACGCCAAUAACUGGCAACGAUAACUUCGCUUUGGCUGCUUAACCGUAGCCAACGUCCUCUAGAAGCCCCGCUUGUGGCUCGCUAGUCGGACGUUCUAAAACAAGCUAGCUGAAGGCCUUGCUCGCCGGGCUGAUGCGAAAACCUAAGGGCGUGUAAGCUUGAAACUUGAGGCUGGUCGCCGCGCCUGUUUCGAGCCGACAAUCUAAGAGGUGACUACGCGCGUAGACGCCGGUUUGAGGGAGUUUCGGACGCGGGUUCGACUCCCGCCGCCUCCACCA